GAGGGUAUAGCUCAGUGGUGGAGUGCAUGCUUAGCAUGCAUGAGGUCCUGGGUUCAAUUCCCAGUACCUACA
rnacentral:tRNA from 1 species